AUACAUAGCCUGUGUACGGUAAAUUCCCUAAUGAGGAAGUAUUUUCCUACCCUUCGGAGCGAUUCAAAUUUCAAGCUGGAAUGAUUUUGCUGUUUACACAGGAUGCUGUUCUGUUAAAAACCAAUAUGUACCAAACGUAAUGGUCUGGAGAUGCAUUUUCACAUGUUGAGACACUUUGAAUAAUCAAACCUGACAGUUGACAAGCCAUUUGGCGCAAAUGUCACGAGACGCCGAACUGCAACAGCGACGCCCAACAGGGAUACAUGAGACGCUUGGCAAGGCUAGAGGACUCAAAGAAGCACAAGGCUGCUGCGCAGAAGGGGACGUUUGUCGAGAAAAAAAAGAAAGAAAGUUAUACAGGAUUGAAACGGUGUGAGGG